GUAGAGAAUACCAAGGCGCUUGAGAGAACUCGGGUGAAGGAACUAGGCAAAAUGGCACCGUAACUUCGGGAGAAGGUGCGCCGGUGAGGGUGAAGCACUUGCUGCGUAAGCCCACGCCGGUCGAAGAUACCAGGCCGCUGCGACUGUUUAUUAAAAACACAGCACUCUGCAAACACGAAAGUGGACGUAUAGGGUGUGACGCCUGCCCGGUGCCGGAAGGUUAAUUGAUGGGGUUAGC
rnacentral:rRNA from 1 species